AUGAGCAAAGGCCCGGUUCCGUUCCCUAGCUUUGGGAAGAAAGCAAAAGAUCUCUUGUACAAGGACUACAAUUUUGACCAAAAGUUUUCAUGGUCAACAACUAGCGAAUCUGGUUUGGGUAUCACAGCCUCUGGUGUGAAGUUCGAUGAACUCUUCAUUGGUGACAUACGGGUACAACAUAAAAGUGGUAGAAAUACUGUUGAUGUCACAAUCGAUUGCGAUUCCAAAGUGUCAACCGCGGUCACUUUUGAUGAAGUAGUCCCUGGUUUGAAGACUUCUUUCGGCUUCAAGGUUCCUGAUCAAAAGUCAGGGAAGCUCGAUUUGCAAUACCUUCAUGAUCGCUUCACACUGAAUUCAACCAUUGGCUUGACUUCGGCACCUGUGAUCGAGCUGGCAACAACUAUUGGCACAAACGAACUUGCUGUCGGUGCCGAGGUUGGAUUUGACAGCACUUCAGCUUCUGUUACCAAGUACAACUCAGGGGUCAGCUAUACCAAGGAUGAUUUUUCUGCCGCCUUACAAAUGGCUGACAAAGGCGAGACACUGAAAGCUUCCUACAUCCACCUGUUCAGCCCGACCAGCGCAGUGGCGGCCGAGGUAACGCACAGGUUGAAAACAAAGGAGAACUACUUCACCAUCGGGAGCUCCCACGCGCUCGACCCGUCCACGACGCUCAAGACGAGGUUCAGCAACAGCGGGAAGGCCGGGCUCCUCUGCCGGCACGAGUGGAGGCCCAAGUCGUACGUGACGCUCUCGGCCGAGUACGACCCCAAGGUGGUGAGCUCGCCGUCAAGGUUCGGCGUGGCCGUGGCCCUCAGCCCCUGA
rnacentral:rRNA from 1 species